AGCUGCGUGGUGAGCACAAAGCCAACUAUUCUUUCAAAAGAGUACCGUGCGCUCGCCACACAAAGCAGCAUACGCUUGUUUUUGGAGGGUACCCUCUCUCGCGAGUGGGU
rnacentral:snRNA from 1 species